GUUCCCAGGUGGCCUAGUGGUCUAAGGGCCUUUACAGACCAUUCUCAUUUCACCUCUGUUCUCCUGAGUUCGAGUCUCGGCUUGACCA